AACUAUGUCGUUACUGCCGUUCCCGGAGUGUUGUAUUUUUUCGGUUUGCUGCUAAUUUACGACGUGCGAUAUUAAAAUAAACUUAAAAAAGUCAAAUAAAAGACGGGAACAAUUCUGGCACAUAGUUCGUUUCGGUUCAUCAUACCUAAAUCGGUGUUUAAACUAUUAAACUACAAAAAGUUAUGGCGUCCCUUCUCCUUUUCGUACGAAUUUAAAUCGGCGUUUGCGUGUAGGAUCUCGGGACGCGACCACGUAAAUUUUGCUUUUGUUGUUAAAAUCAACGCUUAAAGUAACAAAAACCGGCGGGGAAGUGUUCACAAAUCGGUCUUUUCGAUGUCGUGUUAAAUGUUAUCGCAAGAACAAGAAGAUGGCGUUCUAUUUUAAAUUCGUUUGUUUGCGUUUAAAACUUAACGUUUUGUGCACCUUUUUUGAAUCAAGACGCCUAAGAUUUCAUUGAUAUGUUGAUGUGGGUUCUUGACGAACGAGGAGUGCCGGGGAAGUGUACAGUGUUUCAUCAUUACUUUGGUUGAUAUGGUUCUUCCCAGGACAGACUGAAUUAUUGAGGCUAAAGGAUUGCAGAAAGGCGGCCUCAUAAGGUAGGAUUUUUCCUUUUAUGCAUGGUGUAUUGCAUGUCAUUUUUUGUACGGGGGGAAAAGUGAAUAGUGAAUAUCAACCAGAAGGAAGACCAAUAAUUGUUCUGAGCAUGAGUUUCGUGUGUAUAGCUAUGAAAAUUGAAACAGUUUUCCCUGUCUGUCAUUCUAGUGACGUACGAUUGACUGCCAUGAUUCUUAGGGUAGACUUUUUCGCAGCGUCCAUCUGUUUCCUUCAUAUUGGCGAGUGUGACUGUGAAUUCACAGCCAUACCAGCUCUGUGAUGCAAACAGAUUUGCUCUACGAAUAAGCCUAAAGAAUCAUUGGUGUCGUUUUUUCCGUUCCCAAUUGCUGAGGGACUUUGAGGAUUAUUACAUUUUCAUUUAUUAUUGCACGAAGUUCAUCUUAGAGGAAGGUAAGUGCGUGGUCAUAAUAUAAUAAUGGAUUACUUCUAAAAACUUUAUGUGGUUACCUAGCUAAUCUCAUCGAUUGUUACAGGCGCCAUAUCGACGUCGCUCAACCUGCUGGUGAGGAUUAUGCUGACCGCCAGUGCCGGAUAAGUAUUCCUGAGGCAGGGUUUACCUACGAAAGCUCCCCUCCACCCCUCCCCUUAUCAAAAAUUUCAGUUCCAACUUUUACCUUCUAAGACUGUCAACAAACAAUUGAACAAGAAACUAAAUUUUUUGGUCCUCUGAUUGAUUAUUGAGAUUAUUGUUUGUAGCAUCCAGUUAUUUUGAAAUUAUACUUGCUUGCCACACUCUGUGCGGUACUUUUUAAUGGUCAAUAAGAAGUUACAGAUAUUUCCAAAUUUUCAAAAUACCAUAUUUACGAGAACAUUCGUAUUACUUGGAGUCCCUCCGGGUUUCCAGGGCUGUAGCCCCCAUUGUCUCCCUCUUAAUCCAGCGCUGCCUACGACCUCUGCGAUGCAUCAGCUCGAAUUCAAGCCUGCUUUCGACUCAGUUCAACGAUUAUAUCGACAUGGAUCACGCAAACGAGUUAUUGGUAAUGGCGUUCGAGGAGAAUCCUCCAUGCUAGUAGCUCGAGGUGUAUACCUACUACACCUACUUACAAUAGGUAAACAGGUGCUCGAAGCGGAGGAGACAGGACGACGCAUCCAGAAGUUGGCAUGCGGCGCCUUUUUAGUCGGCCGACCCCCGACCUCGUCUGAUUCACGUGCUCCCAAACUCUCGUUUCUCGGAACUCUCGCCUGUAUACGAUGAGUCACGCAACCCCUCCUUGCGUAAUCCCCCGGUGGUGUUGUGUGUGUGACUAAACUUGAACCCCUUUAUACGCGUCGUUAUGAAUGAAUGGGGGCGAAUUCUGCGAAAAGAGAUUGCAACCUCUGACCUUUAAUAGUAAUCUUUAGAUUCGCAAUUGUAAAUAAACGGCUUAUCGAGCAUCCGUUUUCGACAAACAUUUUUUUUAAUCAACUA